GGCUGCUGACAGCAAACUCAGUUGAAGAUAAUGUCCUGAAAAGGACUUGAUGACUGCCGUCUUUCCCAAAAAGUAGCAGAUGGUGGGAUCCCCAAUCAUUUUCAAGAAACAAUUGCAUGACACCUUUCCAUUAACUGCUCCCAUAUGACAAAAAGUCUCUUGCAGACCAUUCUCGGGAAAUGCCACUUGGUCCCGGCGCCAACAAUGAUGUCUCUUCCGGCCAUGAAGACAUCACUUCCAGGUUUUUUUGCGGCACCGUCAAUGAUGUCACUUCCGGUUCCGGUGCCAACAAGGAUGUCACUUCCAGUCGUAAAGACGUCACUUCUGGUUCUGGUGACGAUGAUGUAAUUUCUGUCUUUCAAAACCACUAUCUUCUCUCAAUGCAACUAGUUCUUUUUUGGACUCAUUUAAAAAAUCAACUUUUUGCAGCCAGGAAAACAAUAUACAGGUGGCUGCUCCAAAACUUUGUGAUGUCUGUGACUCGUUUAUGUGACACUGGAUAAACCACAGCCUGAAUGCCCAGUUCACUUAAGGGCUGCAAACAGGCUGUUGGUUUUUUUCCAUGCAAACACACUGUGCAAU